AGCUGAGCUAUCCCGACCAUUCUCUGCGUAGUAACCCAUACUCAUUUUCUGAUUUUAGUCGAUGACUGGGGUCUAUGUCAAUUAAAGGGAGGGGUAGAUUACAAAUUUUUACCCAAGUACUUUCUCCAAUCUCUUUGAUUUUAAAUAUGUAHUAUAUAUAUUCUUUGGGAGAAAAAAAAGUCAUUUACAAUCACCUAAAUUUGUCAAAUAAUCAUAAAAAAAGCAAUUUGUACCCGAAAGGUAUAGGGUAGGAUAAAUAUUUUGAAAGUUUACUUGGGGAUAGUGGGGAUAGAGGGACUUGAACCCUCACGAUUUUAAAAGUCAACGGAUUUUCCUCUACUAUAAUUCAUUGUUGUCRGUAUUGACAUGUAAAAGGGGACUCUAUCUUUAUUCUUGUCUGAUUGAUCAGUUCUUGAAAAAAUUUAUCGUACUAUGGAGUGAAUGGUUUUAUCACUAUAUUAUAUAUUUUUUAUUCAAUAUUGAAUGAAUUCACACCAAUUGUUAGAUCUUUGAUAUAGACAAUUAGAUCUAUAGAUYUGGGCCAUUAUUAUUAUUAAUCAUUUGAUAUAGUWUUCAAUAGAUASGUUUAUCCUUGAUCCUUUCUAAUGUUUCAGUGGAAAUAUUCCUUUAUGAGCGCCCCAUUUACUAGAACAGCUUCCAUUGAGUCUCUGUACCUAUCCUUUUUUUUUUGUGAACYUUUCUUUUGAUUGUGGUAAAACAGGAUUUGGCUCAGGAUUGCCCAUUUCUUUAAUUCCGGGGUUUCCCUGAAUUUGAAAGUUAUCACUUAGUAGGUUUCCAUAC
rnacentral:misc_RNA from 1 species